AGGUUUAAACAAAGAACAGCUCAAGCACUCGCGAUGGAACGGAUCCACCGUGCUCACCCUGGAGGUCAAAGGUCACACUGCUGUAAUGUCAGGAUCUCGGUGACCUCCCAGGUGCCUGAGGUCAGGUGACGCACGCUGACCUCUUCACCUUCAGGCUGAAAGCAGAAGAGGUCUUGUUUCGUCCGACACAAGAGAGACAGAGAUUGAGAAUGUGAUCUUCCUCACCAGAAACCCACUGAGCUUCGAGAUCCUGAUCCUGCAGCUCACUGGAGAAAAGGUCAUCCAGGGUCAGACAGGAUCCCAGAGUGUGCGGUGAAUCUCAGUGAAGCGGAUCCUGAUGAAGAAGACGCUGCGAGUGUGUGUGUUAUCCCAGCGCUGCGAGUGUGUGUGUUAUCCCA